rnacentral:rRNA from 1 species
AGCGGCGAACGGGUGAGUAACGCGUGGGUGAUCUGCCUUCGAGUGGGGAACAACACUGGGAAACUGGUGCUAAUACCGCAUGACAUCGUCGGUUCAAUUCGACGAUCAAAGCCGGGGACCGCAAGGCCUGGCGCUUGAAGAGGAGCCCGCGUCCGAUUAGCUAGUAGGCGGGGUAACGGCCCACCUAGGCGACGAUCGGUAGCCGGCCUGAGAGGGCGGACGGCCACACUGGGACUGAGACACGGCCCAGACUCCUACGGGAGGCAGCAGUGGGGAAUUUUUCGCAAUGGGGGAAACCCUGACGAAGCAACGCCGCGUGGAGGAUGAAGGCCUUCGGGUCGUAAACUCCUGUCGACCGGGACGAACGUAGCGGGGGCCAAUACCUCCUGCUAUCGACUGUACCGGUGGAGGAAGCCACGGCUAACUCUGUGCCAGCAGCCGCGGUAAUACAGAGGUGGCAAGCGUUGUUCGGAAUUACUGGGCGUAAAGGGCGCGUAGGCGGCCUCGUAAGUCCUGUGUGAAAUCCCCCGGCUCAACUGGGGAACUGCACAGGAGACUGCUUGGCUUGAGUUCGGGAGAGGGAAGCGGAAUUCCGGGUGUAGCGGCGAAAUGCGUAGAUAUCCGGAGGAACACCGGUGGCGAAGGCGGCUUCCUGGACCGACACUGACGCUGAGGCGCGAAAGCCAGGGGAGCAAACGGG